UACGUAGGACCCAAGCGUUAUCCGGAUUGACUGGGCGUAAAGAGUUGCGUAGGUGGUUUGUUAAGCGAAUGGUGAAAUCUUGUGGCUCAACCAUAAGGCUAUUAUUCGAACUGGCAAACUCGAGAAUGGAAGAGGUAUCUGGAAUUUCUCAUGUAGGGGUAAUAUCCGUAGAUAUGAGGAGGAACACCAAUGGCGUAGGCAGGAUACUGGUCCAUUUCUGACACUAAUGCACGAAAGCGUGGGGAGCGAACCGG
rnacentral:rRNA from 1 species